rnacentral:lncRNA from 1 species
CCGGCUCCUCCGCACACGCCAGGACUGCAACUCAGCCACACGCUUCCAACUAUCUGCUCAAUCCCAGUCCAUGGGAUGUCAGACUUCCCUCGCUCUUCCUCUACUUUCCAGCUGUUCUGGGGGCAAAUCGCUCUGGAGACACAUGGGCUAAUCUUUUUGAAGGAGAACUGAUUACAAGAAGCACCAUUAUGCCAAGAGACACUAACAGGGACACGCUACUCAGGAUACAAGCAGUUUCAGAACUACUCAAGUGGCUCAAAGAAAGCAACAAGCACACAUCAUGCAAGUUUGUUUUGCUUAGCAAGUAUUGUUUGGGAUUUUUCUGAGAGUUUUGGCUUAACGUUGGUUGUUUGUGGCGCGGGGCAGAGGGGGUGGCGGAGUGAGGAACGAGGGGAAAGUGACAUAACACAGGGCACAACUGACCCAAAUCUGAGCAACACUCACUGGAGUAUUCGCUGAAGUUCCGGAACUUCUGAUGAUACAGUGUUCUGAUAAUAACACACAAGAUAAGCACAAAUAGCACAGAGCCUUCCAGAUAUUGUUAACGAAAGUGUAGGAGUACCACCCAUUCUGUAAACAUCAAAAAAGUCACCCGCAAUUGUUUAAACUUCGUGGAAAACUCAGGUCUGGGAUAGCAACUACAGUUCUGAGAUGUUCCUUCUCUGACAAGCAUGAAACAAGUCAGAUUCAAGCACAUCCCGUUUUACUCAAAAGCACCUUAUAUAUGCAGACCACUCUAAGUCAGAGAAACGUCUGUUUAAUUUUAACUGCAUUUAGUAAACGCCAGUUAAAUGUCUGAAAUGGAGAGAUGUUAAGGUAAAUAACUUGGUUUUAGAGAUCCGUUCCUCUUGAAGUUGCAGUUUCAAUUUUUUAAUUCAAGAACUGUUCUCUUGGGCUUUUGAUGGUUAAAGUGUGAAAGACCUUCAAAGGACUCAAGUUUAUCGGCACUCUCUUAACUAAUGACCUUUGAAACAUAGUAUCUAAGACACAAUUAAAUAGUUAUACUAUCACACACAUUAGGACUCCGAAGCAGAUAAUCAUUAUCCAAGUCUUUUCUUGAAACCAGACAUGUUACAAUUAUCAAUUACAAGAUUGCUUCCUCAAUAUAUGCA